rnacentral:rRNA from 1 species
GAUGAACGCUGGCGGCGUGCCUAAUACAUGCAAGUCGAGCGAACAGACGAGGAGCUUGCUCCUCUGACGUUAGCGGCGGACGGGUGAGUAACACGUGGAUAACCUACCUAUAAGACUGGGAUAACUUCGGGAAACCGGAGCUAAUACCGGAUAACAUGUUGAACCGCAUGGAUCAACAGUGAAAGACGGUCUUGCUGUCACUUAUAGAUGGAUCCGCGGCGCAUUAGCACGUUGGUAAGGUAACGGCUUACCAAGGCAACGAUGCGUAGCCGACCUGAGAGGGUGAGCGGCCACACUGGGACUGAGACACGGUACAGACUCCUACAGGAGGCAGCAUUAGGGAAUCUUCAGCAAUGGGCGAAAGCCUGACGGAGCAACGCCGCGUGAGUGAAGAAGGUCUUCGGAUCGUAAAACUCUGUUAUUAGGGAAGAACAAAUGUGUAAGUAACUAUGCACGUCUUGACGGUACCUAAUCAGAAAGCCACGGCUAACUACGUG